GUUCAAACGGGACGUGUUUCUCAUCUCCCAAAAUAUUAUAAAAAGCACAGUUUGUGUGUAAGAUAAAACGGAUACUUACCCGAAACAAACAUUCAGACGCAGACAGUGAUACUCGCAGCCAUCUUGGCUUGCUGCCUCCUUGCGGCGAAUUCCCUGUGGAUGCCAACACAGCCAGACGAGAAUGGAAAUCCUCUAAGCGCUGACAAACGUCCAGAGUACAUGGAGACGCGAGACUUGUCCUACUUAAAGAGUUACUACUUGUUGCACUGGGACGAAGAUAAACGGCUGUUAACAUGGGUGAACGGCGCAUUGACCACAUGGGGGAACGUUGAGACUUAACUAACGCUUUGAAUUUUGAUAUUUCAUCUCGACAUCCUUGAUUUCACAAUAAAAGAUUAUAUUUUGUGUCAUUUAACAUUAAUCAUGAAGACCAGUUCGAUGUAGAAA